GACGAACCGUACGACCGUUAUUCGGAAUCACUGGGCUUAAAGGGUGCGUAGGCGGGUCUUUAAGUCAGGGGUGAAAUCCUGGAGCUCAACUCCAGAACUGCCUUUGAUACUGAGGAUCUUGAGUUCGGGAGAGGUGAGUGGAACUGCGAGUGUAGAGGUGAAAUUCGUAGAUAUUCGCAAGAACACCAGUGGCGAAGGCGGCUCACUGGCCCGAUACUGACGCUGAGGCACGAAAGCGUGGGGAGCAAACAGG
rnacentral:rRNA from 1 species